GAAUGCCCCUAGUCUUCAUCGUCAUCAACGUCCAACUGUACGACGAUGGAGACGAUGCCUACACCGAAGAGGACAUAGAGUGAGAGAAUGUGGCAUGUAGCAAAGAGGAAAAUGAGGGCAAGAAGCAGUCAGCAAUAGCCAUGAAUUGAAACUGGAUUCGGUGUCGUCGGCCCCCUGUAUGAUGUAGAUGGGGCGUGGAUCCAUUG
ensembl:ncRNA K04A8.11 ncRNA